GGGAUUGUGGCUCAGUGGUAGAGCGCUUGCCUAGCAUAUGCAAGACAUUAGGUUCAAUCCUCAGCACCA
rfam:Ictidomys tridecemlineatus contig000183, whole genome shotgun sequence.